CAGUCGCCGCGGUAAUACGGAGGGAGCUAGCGUUGUUCGGAAUUACUGGGCGUAAAGCGCGCGUAGGCGGUUACUCAAGUCAGAGGUGAAAGCCCGGGGCUCAACCCCGGAACUGCCUUUGAAACUAGGUGACUGGAAUCUUGGAGAGGUCAGUGGAAUUCCGAGUGUAGAGGUGAAAUUCGUAGAUAUUCGGAAGAACACCAGUGGCGAAGGCGACUGACUGGACAAGUAUUGACGCUGAGGUGCGAAAGCGUGGGGAGCAAACAGGAUUAGAGACCCGUGUAGUCCCUGUCUCUUAUAC
rnacentral:rRNA from 1 species